rnacentral:rRNA from 1 species
GAUGAACGCUGGCGGCGUGCCUAAUACAUGCAAGUCGAGCGAACAGACGAGGAGCUUGCUCCUCUGACGUUAGCGGCGGACGGGUGAGUAACACGUGGAUAACCUACCUAUAAGACUGGGAUAACUUCGGGAAACCGGAGCUAAUACCGGAUAAUAUAUUGAACCGCAUGGUUCAAUAGUGAAAGACGGUUUUGCUGUCACUUAUAGAUGGAUCCGCGCCGCAUUAGCUAGUUUGUAAGGUAACGGCUUACCAAGGCAACGAUGCGUAGCCGACCUGAGAGGGUGAACGGCCACACUGGAACUGAGAAAAGGUCCAGACUCCUACGGGAGGCAGCAGUAGGGAAUCUUCCGCAAUGGGCGAAAGCUUGACGGAGCAACGCCGCGUGAGUGAUGAAGGUCUUCGGAUCGUAAAACUCUGUUAUUAGGGAAGAACAAAUGUGUAAGUAACUAUGCACGUCUUGACGGUACCUAAUCAGAAAGCCACGGCUAACUACGUG